rnacentral:lncRNA from 1 species
UAUAAAUGCUGUUAUAACUUUAUUCUCUUCUUUGAUUUUUGAAUAGAAGUGCUCUAUGUAUUUGUAACUUGUGGUCUAAAAGGACAAGGAGCUCUGAAUCACACUGGGACCCUCUUUACUGGUAUUGCUAACACAGUUGGAUUCCUGUACUGUAAAGGUGGUAAAGAUGAAGGAGCUACAAAUGACUAGGCUUAAGGAACAGGAAGGUAAAAAGCUAUGCAAUUCCGUGAUUCAAAUGAUUUUGGAGAGUCUUAGCUGAUAAAAAUCAUCACAAAACCAUCAGAAGCAAAACAACUCGAUGACUUAGAGCAGCUGUGUGGUCAUACUUUUUUAAGGGUUCAGCUGGCACAAGCAGCUUCAGUUGUUACAGACCUCUUUCCACUCCUUAUGCAAGAAGGUGGCGAGUUUUAUUUGUGCUGCUUCCACCUCAGCAGUUUUGCAGUGUCAGAUAUGUGGUAUCAAAUCUCCAGAGGAAACACAAAGGUUAGUCCUGGAAAAGAUGACAUUCCUGAAGGAAAGAGAAAAUAAGCACAAGGUUUUCUGGGGUGCAGUAGGUUAAUUGGUGUCUCUGAAAAUUAGGCUGUAAGUGGGUAUUGUUUCAGUUAGAAAAUAGAUUGGGUUUAUGAGGCAGUUCUUUUUAUAUGAUUGAAUUAACUCUAAGCUUCUUUAUGAGCUAUUUAUAUUGAUGUCCAAAUCUUCUGCUAGCAAAAGGAAAAUACUUUCUGAGGAUGUAAUUAAUUUGUU